CCGAGAUAGCUCAGUGGGUAGAGCAGGGGACUGAAAAUCCUCGUGUCACCAGUUCAAU
rnacentral:tRNA from 2 species